rnacentral:rRNA from 1 species
ACGGGUGAGUAACACGUGGGAACGUACCCUUUGGUUCGGAACAACCCUGGGAAACUAGGGCUAAUACCGGAUACGCGCGAGAGCGGAAAGGUUUACCGCCGAAGGAUCGGCCCGCGUCUGAUUAGCUAGUUGGUGAGGUAACGGCUCACCAAGGCGACGAUCAGUAGCUGGUCUGAGAGGAUGAUCAGCCACAUUGGGACUGAGACACGGCCCAAACUCCUACGGGAGGCAGCAGUGGGGAAUAUUGGACAAUGGGCGCAAGCCUGAUCCAGCCAUGCCGCGUGAGUGAUGACGGCCCUAGGGUUGUAAAGCUCUUUUACCUGGGAAGAUAAUGACGGUACCAGGAGAAUAAGCCCCGGCUAACUUCGUGCCAGCAGCCGCGGUAAU